rnacentral:rRNA from 1 species
CCAAUAGCGUAUAUUAAAGUUGUUGCAGUUAAAAAGCUCGUAGUUGAAUUUCGGGAUCAGAUUGUUGGUCGUGCCUCGGUACGCACUGGCAUUAUUGGUUCCUACCUUCUGAAGAACCGCGAUGUCAUUAAUUUGGUGUCGUGGGGAAUCAGGACUGUUACUUUGAAAAAAUUAGAGUGUUUAAAGCAGGCGCACGCUUGAAUACAUUAGCAUGGAAUAAUGAAAUAGGACGUUUGAUUCUAUUUUGUUGGUUUCUAGGAUUGACGUAAUGAUUAAUAGGGAUAGUUGGGGGCAUUAGUAUUCAAUUGUCAGAGGUGAAAUUCUUGGAUUUAUUGAAGACUAACUACUGCGAAAGCAUUUGCCAAGGAUGUUUUCAUUAAUCAAGAACGAAAGUUAGGGGAUCGAAGACGAUCAGAUACCGUCGUAGUCUUAACCAUAAACUAUGCCGACUAGGGAUCGGAUGAUGUUAACUUUAUAAUGACUCAUUCGGCGCCUUACG